rnacentral:rRNA from 1 species
GAGUUUGAUCAUGGCUCAGGAUGAACGCUAGCGGCAGGCUUAAUACAUGCAAGUCGAGGGGCAGCAGCUUUAUAGCAAUAUAGAGGCUGGCGACCGGCAAACGGGUGCGGAACACGUACACAACCUUCCUUGAAUAGGGGGAUAGCCCAUAGAAAUGUGGAUUAAUACCCCGUAAUAUAGCGGUGUGGCAUCACACUGUUAUUAUAGUUUCGGCGAUUCGAGAUGGGUGUGCGGCUGAUUAGGUAGUUGGCGGGGUAAAGGCCCACCAAGCCUUCGAUCAGUAGCUGAUGUGAGAGCAUGAUCAGCCACACGGGCACUGAGACACGGGCCCGACUCCUACGGGAGGCAGCAGUAAGGAAUAUUGGUCAAUGGACGCAAGUCUGAACCAGCCAUGCCGCGUGAAGGAUGAAGGUCCUCUGGAUUGUAAACUUCUUUUAUAGGGGGCGAAAAAAGGUCUUCUAGAUCACUGACAGUACCCUAGAAU